rnacentral:rRNA from 1 species
AUUGAACGCUGGCGGCAGGCUUAACACAUGCAAGUCGAGCGGAGUGAUGGUGCUUGCACUAUCACUUAGCGGCGGACGGGUGGGUAAUGCUUAGGAAUCUGCCUAUUAGUGGGGGACAACAUCUCGAAAGGGAUGCUAAUACCGCAUACGUCCUACGGGAGAAAGCAGGGGAUCACUUGUGACCUUGCGCUAAUAGAUGAGCCCAAGUCGGAUUAGCUAGUUGGUGGGGUAAAGGCCUACCAAGGCGACGAUCUGUAGCGGGUCUGAGAGGAUCCUCCGCCACACUGGGGCUGAGACACGGCCCAGACUCCUACGGGAGGUAGCAGUGGGGAAUAUUGGACAAUGGGGGGAACCCUGAUCCAGCCAUGCCGCGUGUGUGAAGAAGGCCUUAUGGUUGUAAAGCACUUUAAGCGAGGAGGAGGCUCUUUUGGUUAAUACCCAAGAUGAGUGGACGUUACUCGCAGAAUAAGCACCGGCUAACUCUGUGCCAGCCGCCGCAGUAAUAC